rnacentral:rRNA from 1 species
AACGAACGCUGGCGGCAGGCCUAACACAUGCAAGUCGAGCGAUCCUUUCGGGGAUAGCGGCGGACGGGUGAGUAACGCGUGGGAACGUACCCUUUGCUACGGAAUAGCCUCGGGAAACUGGGAGUAAUACCGUAUGUGCCCUUCGGGGAAAGAUUUAUCGGCAAAGGAUCGGCCCGCGUUGGAUUAGGUAGUUGGUGGGGUAAUGGCCUACCAAGCCGACGAUCCAUAGCUGGUUUGAGAGGAUGAUCAGCCACACUGGGACUGAGACACGGCCCAGACUCCUACGGGAGGCAGCAGUGGGGAAUCUUAGACAAUGGGGGCAACCCUGAUCUAGCCAUGCCGCGUGAGUGAUGAAGGCCCUAGGGUUGUAAAGCUCUUUCAGCUGGGAAGAUAAUGACGGUACCAGCAGAAGAAGCCCCGGCUAACUCCGUG